rnacentral:rRNA from 1 species
UACGUCGGUCUAAGUUCCUUGGAACAGGACGUCAGAGAGGGUGAGAACCCCGUCUUUGGCCGAUGUGCUYUSCCMUAUAAAGCGCUUUCUAAGAGUCGAGUUGUUUGGGAANGCAGCUCUAAAUGGGUGGUGAAUUUCAUCUAAAGCUAAAUAUUGGCGASAGWCCGAUAGCGAACAAGUAGAGUGAUCGMAAGAUGAAAAGAACUUUGAAAAGMGASUUAMAUAGUACGUGAAAUUGCYGAAGGGGAAGCAUUGGAAACCAGUCUUACCUUGGYGAGAUCAGCUGUUUACUUGUAGACAGUGCACUCUGAACCUAGGUAGGUCAGCAUCAGUUUUCGGGGACGGAAAMAGAAUAAGGGAAAGUGGCUUUUGGGCUUGCUCAGAAGUGUUAUAGCCCUCAUUGUAAUACGCCCACUGGGGACUGAGGUCUGCGAC